CAUCAAUCUGAAACAAUCAGAAUUAUAGAAGUCACCAUAGUGGCUUAGGCAAUGAUAUGUUUAAAAUGGCAUGUGGCUAAUGAUAUAAUGGCAUAUCUUCAUUAAUAUUUGGUAGCAACUGGAUUGCCACAAAAACAUGUGAGGACCCUUUUUCUGUUGUAUUGUCAUUCUUUUACACCGGAAAAAUUACUCUGCUGUUUUCUAAGAGUCAAUCCUGGAGUGACGUGAGUAGCAGAAUGCCAAGUCUAUGAGUCACGUGAUAACUACUGGACAUGCACAUGAGAAUAUGACGAGGAUGGUGCCUUAGAAUGGGGAUUCUCAAUCUGAGGUAACAAUGGGAACAAUUACCAUAUAACUAUUCAAGUGUUUAACUAGCCAGUAUUUUAAAAAAUACCUACUACAUCCUCAGCAUAGUCACUGAAGAAAACUAGGGAUCCAAGAAAAUCAUACCAUUUAAAAAUAAUUGAUAUGGGUUUCCUUCCUUGAUAACGG
rnacentral:lncRNA from 10 species